GAUGAACGCUGGCGGUGUGCCUAACACAUGCAAGUCGAACGAACAGACCCUUUGUUUGCUCCUCUGAUGUCGCCGGGGGGCGUGUGAGUAAAAUAUGCUUCCCCUACCUCUUAGACUGGGAUCACAUCCGGUUGCUAGUGCUAAUACUGCAUAAUAUAUUCAACCGCUUGGUUCAAUAGUUUUAUUCGGUUUUUGUGUCACUUAUAGCUGAUUACGCGCGUCAUUAGCUAGUUGGUAAGGUACAGGCUUACCAAGGCACCGACGCGUAGCCGACCUGAGCGGGUGAUCGGCCACACUGAGACUGAGAGACGGUCCAGGCUCCUACGGGAGGCAGCAGUAGGGAAUCUUGCGAAAAGGGGGAAAGCCUGAAGGAGCAACGCCGCGUGAGUGAAGAAGGUCUUCGGGUGGUAAAACUCUGUUAGUAGGGAAGAACAAAUGUGUAUGUAACGAUGCUCGUCUUGACGGUACCUAAAGAAGAAGCCACGGCUAACUACGUG
rnacentral:rRNA from 1 species